ACAGCCGUGCCGCAGUCAAGGUCACCCCAGGCUGUCACUGUCACCUCACCCCAACCGCCGGCUGGGCUGCUCCCGGGCUUCGGAUCAGGCACCCGAGGCUCAGGACAGGCAGGAGUGUCGAGCUACUCCUUGGAAAUGUAUCAGGAGAAGACAACAGUUUAAUUUCCAACAUGAGAGGAGGAUUCUACGGCAGCUCCCCAUCCGAGUUGUGCUUCUCUCCUAUGUCCAGACCUGCUUCUUGGUGUUGGCCAGGCAAACAGGCUCUGCACAGCAGAGCAGUCGCAUGAGGCCCAUCUCUGUGUGGCCAGUUCUGAGAUUUCACAGCCUCUGUGAGGCAUGCUUGUAAAGUUCCCCAUGCUGUCUAUCAAACACCACCACAAAAGGCAGUUUGCCUUCCACCGAGGCAGUCAGCCCCCACCUUCCCACUGGACAGCCUUCUCGGUCCCAUCUGCAAAUGACUGGCCAAGGCACAAAAAGGCACAGAUCCUGUGCCACAGAGCUCCAUGCAGAGCCAUGGGCUUGCAUCAGUGUGACCAGUUUGCAUGGUGGUGUUGCCCAGGGAGCAAUGAUGGCUCCUGCAGGGCCCUGCCAUGAUAAGAAGCCGUGAAACAAAGCGCCAGGAGGAGGUAAAAGGAGCAAGUCUCAGACCACACGUUUGCAGGGACCCUGGAAGGUCUCUUGCCUGCUCAGAACUGUAGAAAAAAUUAGCGAGGGAUAUCAGAUAGAGAUAAAUCCCUCAGAUGUAGGAGAUAAAAUGUGUUCAUAUGUCAACAAAAUCUCUACAGCACCCAAUUGAACCACACUUUGCAUAUCCACACGCAAACACAUAAGGGAAGAAACUAACAGAAAUCUUUGGGUCACGAAGUAAAGUACUGAAACAAUAUUGCUCCAUCAUAUGCUGUUAACAUGCAUUGGCACUGCAACCUGGGCUGUAAGUCCUGCAAUCUCAUCUCUGGUGGAAGGGACGAAGAUACAAGCCAAAAGCAGGAGGAGGGAUCUGCAGCCGAAGGGGGGCAGUGAGGGACUCGCUCUUGCUGGUAGCCAGAGCCAGAGCCCAGAUGUGUGGUGCCUGUGCCCCACUGCAUGCUGCUGCACAGGUCUGUACCUCCCCCACCUGUGAUUCCUGUGUAGGGAAAGCCAAGCUGCAGGGAGGGUUGUACCUCUCCUGCCUGGAGCAGAGGUUGGGUGUCUCUUGCCUGCUACUGAAUAGCACAAGGAGUGGUUGGUGGCACUGGCUGGGGCAGGCAGUGCGGCUGGCAUGCGUGGACUGCCUCUCAGGAGCCAGCCAGAGGUGAGCAGCUCAAGCGCUGCUGCUGUAAUUAAGCUCUGUCCACUGCGCAUCACUUUGAAGAAUACUCUGAGAUCACCAAGUGGAAAAGAUGUCUUAUCCACGGGCUUCUAAAAGGAUCAAGUCUUGGCUUUCUCCUUCAUCAGGCUUACCUAUGUCCAGCAUACAGAAAUCUGGCCACAUUUUAAAGGAAAAACAUAAGAAUUAGCUCUGACUGCUGCAGAGAAAGCCUCCCCUGCACCCAGCGGACCUGAUGCACACCUGAAUGGCAACAAGAGGAGUUCUGGUGACAGCACAAAGCUCCUCAGCCCUGACCUUGAUCCACAGCCUCAGCAGAGGAGGGCAGCUUCGUCAGCACUCAGCCUCUGCAAAGCCAAGAAUAACUGCCUGUUAGGAAUUUAGAAGCAGCAAUUUCCCCCUGAGCUGCCAUCAAACAACAAUGCUAUUUCAACACAGGGGACGUGGGCAGCACCCACCGCAGCCUCUAACCGCGCGGUGCCCGGUCUGGGCAUGCCAGCCAGCCUGGCAGUGAGGCUGGGGGCUGCAUGAGCCCAGCCCUGGGCAUCUCACACAGCGAAUGAUUGCCACACUGAGCGGAAUUUAUAUCUGCUCUGUGCAAGCAGCAGUCUCAGGCAUCAAAGCUUCUGUUUCAGCGCCGUGCCAAAACCCAUAAAGUUUAAGGCUUGACCAAGCAUUGAUUCAGCACUAAAGCAGAAGCCCGGACUCUGGAGACUACUGAAUAGCUGGAUUAAAUAAACACUUUAAAAAUACCUCUAAUGCUGCUAAUAAAAACUGGGAGGAAAGAAAUGCAU
ensembl:lncRNA